rnacentral:rRNA from 1 species
UACGUAGGUGGCAAGCGUUGUCCGGAAUUAUUGGGCGUAAAGCGCGCGCAGGUGGUUCCUUAAGUCUGAUGUGAAAGCCCACGGCUCAACCGUGGAGGGUCAUUGGAAACUGGGGGAACUUGAGUGCAGAAGAGGAAAGUGGAAUUCCAAGUGUAGCGGUGAAAAUGCGUAGAGAUUUGGAGGAACACCAGUGGCGAAGGCGACUACCUGGCCUGUUCUUGACGCUGAGGCGCGAAAGCUAGGGGAGCAAACGGG